AACGAACGCUGGCGGCAUGCCUAACACAUGCAAGUCGAACGAGAUCUUCGGGUCUAGUGGCGCACGGGUGCGUAACGCGUGGGAAUCUGCCCUUUGGUUCGGAAUAACAGUUGGAAACGGCUGCUAAUACCGGAUGAUGACGAAAGUCCAAAGAUUUAUCGCCAGAGGAUGAGCCCGCGUAGGAUUAGCUAGUUGGUGUGGUAAAGGCGCACCAAGGCGACGAUCCUUAGAUGGUCUGAGAGGAUGAUCAGCCACACUGGGACUGAGACACGGCACAGACUCCUACCGGAGGCAACAGUGGGGAAUAUUGGACAAUGGGCGAAAGCCUGAUCCAGCACUGCCGCGUGAGUGAUGAAGGCCUUAGGGUUGUAAAGCUCUUUUACCCGGGAUGAUAAUGACAGUACCGGGAGAAUAAGCUCCGGCUAACUCCGUGCCAGCCGCCGCGGUAA
rnacentral:rRNA from 1 species